GUAGGUGGCAAGCGUUGUCCGGAAUUAUUGGGCGUAAAGCGCGCGCAGGCGGUUCUUUAAGUCUGAUGUGAAAGCCCACGGCUCAACCGUGGAGGGUCAUUGGAAGCUGGAGAACUUGAGUACAGAAGAGGAAAGCGGAAUUCCACGUGUAGCGGUGAAAUGCGUAGAGAUGUGGAGGAACACCAGUGGCGAAGGCGGCUUUCUGGUCUGUAACUGACGCUGAGGCGCGAAAGCGUGGGGAGCAAACAGGAUUAGAUACCCUGGUAGUCCACGCCGUAAACGAUGAGUGCUAAGUGUUAGGGGGUUUCCGCCCCCCUUAGUGCUGCAGCUAACGCAUUAAGCACUCCGCCUGGGAGUACGGCCGCAAGGCUG
rnacentral:rRNA from 1 species